UACAGAGGGUGCAAGCGUUAAUCGGAAUUACUGGGCGUAAAGCGUGCGUAGACGGUAGCGUAAGUCGGGUGUGAAAGCCCCGGGCUCAACCUGGGAAUUGCAUUCGAGACUGCUCUGCUAGGGUGCGGAAGAGGGAAGCGGAAUUUCCGGUGUAGCGGUGAAAUGCGUAGAUAUCGGAAGGAACACCAGUGGCGAAAGCGGCUUCCUGGUCCAGCACCGACGUUCAGGCACGAAAGCGUGGGGAGCAAACAAGG
rnacentral:rRNA from 1 species